rnacentral:rRNA from 1 species
UUACCGAGUUUACAACUCCCAAACCCCUGUGAACAUACCACUUGUUGCCUCGGCGGAUCAGCCCGCUCCCGGUAAAACGGGACGGCCCGCCAGAGGACCCCUAAACUCUGUUUCUAUAUGUAACUUCUGAGUAAAACCAUAAAUAAAUCAAAACUUUCAACAACGGAUCUCUUGGUUCUGGCAUCGAUGAAGAACGCAGCAAAAUGCGAUAAGUAAUGUGAAUUGCAGAAUUCAGUGAAUCAUCGAAUCUUUGAACGCACAUUGCGCCCGCCAGUAUUCUGGCGGGCAUGCCUGUUCGAGCGUCAUUUCAACCCUCAAGCACAGCUUGGUGUUGGGACUCGCGUUAAUUCGCGUUCCUCAAAUUGAUUGGCGGUCACGUCGAGCUUCCAUAGCGUAGUAGUAAAACCCUCGUUACUGGUAAUCGUCGCGGCCACGCCGUUAAACCCCAACUUCUGAAUGUUGACCUCGGAUCAGGUAGGAAUACCCGCUGAACUUAAGCAUAUCAAUAA